GCAGGGUCUUAGCUAGAGGGCCGUGUUGGCCGUGUUAUCGCGGCCAAAAGUGGAAAAACACGGCUAGAUAAAAUAAACGCGGCUUCACUAUUUAUAUAAGGCCGUGUAAGUUCAUAAAAUAAGGUGGUGCAUGCUACUUACAACAGACAGAAUUUCUUCCUAUUUACGUCGUAAGAAAGUUUGUAAAAUCUACUGUUGUUGUUGAAUUGGCAAAAGUGAUUCGCGAUGUUUUAAUAUUUUGAUGGAUAAUGGGAACUGUAUGGUGUUAAAAUGGUUUUAAAUACCCCCAAGAUUUGCUGAAAAUAACUCAAUAUUUUAAUGUCAGUGCGCAAUAUGAGCGUAUGCUCGCCUUGUAUUUG
rnacentral:lncRNA from 1 species